GACAGAGGUUGCAAACGUUGUUCGGAAUCACUGGGCAUAAAGCGCACGUAGGCGGCUGACUAAGUCAGGUGUGAAAUCCCCCGGCUCAACCGGGGAACUGCGCCUGAUACUGGUCGGCUAGAGUGCGGUAGGGGUGAGCGGAACUCCAGGUGGAGCGGUGAAAUGCGUAGAUAUCUGGAGGAACACCGGUGGCGAAAGCGGCUCACUGGACCGUAACUGACGCUGAGGUGCGAAAGCUAGGGUAG
rnacentral:rRNA from 1 species